UCCCCAGAAACUCAGAUGGUAAAGCAUCUGCCUGCAAUGCAGGAGACCUGGUUCAAUCCCUGGCUUGGGAA
rnacentral:tRNA from 1 species